AUACGGAGGGUGCAAGCGUUGCUCGGAAUUACUGGGCGUAAAGCGAGCGCAGGCGGCUAAUCAAGUCGGAUGUGAAAGCCCGAGGCUCAACCUCGGAACUGCAUUCGAAACUGACUAGCUAGAGUAUGGAAGAGGGGAGUGGAAUUCCUGGUGUAGAGGUGAAAUUCGUAGAUAUCAGGAGGAACACCCGUGGCGAAGGCGACUCCCUGGGCCAAUACUGACGCUCAUGCUCGAAAGCGUGGGGAGCAAACAGGAUUAGAUACCCUGGUAGUCCACGCCGUAAACGAUGAGUGCUCGGUGCUGGGGGACUAUACCCCUUCAGUGCCCAAGCUAACGUAUUAAGCACUCCGCCUGGGAAGUACGGCCGCAAGGCUAAA
rnacentral:rRNA from 1 species